UACACUCCUACGGGAGGCAGCAGUGGGGAAUUUUGGACAAUGGGCGAAAGCCUGAUCCAGCCAUGCCGCGUGCAGGAUGAAGGCCUUCGGGUUGUAAACUGCUUUUGUACGGAACGAAACGGCCUUUUCUAAUAAAGAGGGCUAAUGACGUUACCGUAAGAAUAAGCACCGGCUAACUACGUGCCAGCAGCCGCGGUAAUACGUAGGGUGCAAGCGUUAAUCGGAAUUACUGGGCGUAAAGCGUGCGCAGGCGGUUAUGUAAGACAGUUGUGAAAUCCCCGGGCUCAACCUGGGAACUGCAUCUGUGACUGCAUAGCUAGAGUACGGUAGAGGGGGAUGGAAUUCCGCGUGUAGCAGUGAAAUGCGUAGAUAUGCGGAGGAACACCGAUGGCGAAGGCAAUCCCCUGGACCUGUACUGACGCUCAUGCACGAAAGCGUGGGGAGCAAACAGGAUUAGAUACCCCUGUAGUCCC
rnacentral:rRNA from 1 species